rnacentral:rRNA from 1 species
AUUGAACGCUGGCGGCAUGCUCUACACAUGCAAGUCGAACGGUAACAGGCCGCAAGGUGCUGACGAGUGGCGAACGGGGGAGUAAUGCAUCGGAACGUGCCCAGUCGUGGGGGAUAACGCAGCGAAAGCUGCGCUAAUACCGCAUACGAUCUAUGGAUGAAAGCGGGGGACCGUAAGGCCUCGCGCGAUUGGCGCGGCCGAUGUCAGAUUAGGUAGUUGGUGGGGUAAAGGCUCACCAAGCCAACGAUCUGUAGCUGGUCUGAGAGGACGACCAGCCACACUGGGACUGAGACACGGCCCAGACUCCUACGGGAGGCAGCAGUGGGGAAUUUUGGACAAUGGGCGCAAGCCUGAUCCAGCCAUGCCGCGUGUCUGAAGAAGGCCUUCGGGUUGUAAAGGACUUUUGUCCGGGAGCAAAUGCUGGUGGCUAACAUCCACCGGAGCUGAGAGUACCGGAAGAAUAAGCACCGGCUAACUACGUGCCAGCCGCCGCUGUAAAAC